GUAUUUGAAAAUUGUUAUGAUUCACUUAAUUCAGAUGGAAAACAUUUAACGCUGGAUGAGAAAAUCGAAAGACUUUGUAAACUCGAUCACGAAGUAUAUAAUGCUGUGAAACAAUGUUACCAAACAGCAGCAUACAUUGCCUUGAAACAAACUAAAACAGUAUUUAAAAUAACUGAGAUUUGCAUUUCUCGUGCUGAAAUCAAAGAGGGAAAGUAUUGUGGCCUUGGAAAGAUUUUCCAUCAUCACCAUCAUCAUUAUCCGAC